UUAGUACGAGAGGACCGGGUUGGACGAACCUCUGGUGUUCCGGUUGUCACGCCAGUGGCACUGCCGGGUAGCUACGUUCGGAAGAGAUAACCGCUGAAAGCAUCUAAGCGGGAAACUUGCCUCAAGAUGAGAUCUCACUGGAGCCUUGAGCUCCCUAAAGGGUCGUCGAAGACUACGACGUUGAUAGGCAGGGUGUGUAAGCGUUGUGAGGCGUUGAGCUAACCUGUACUAAUGGCCCGUGAGGCUUGACCA
rnacentral:rRNA from 1 species